AGGCCCCAGGAGAGAGAAGAAGGGUCUGAUCCGUAGCCUCCAUGGCAACUAUUGAUCAGCCCUUGCCUCUCUCUUUCGCUCCA
rfam:Myotis brandtii contig208307, whole genome shotgun sequence.